rnacentral:rRNA from 1 species
AUGGCUCGCACCAGGAGCUCCUCGAGCCACAAGGCUAAGGUACACACUGAAUACAGUUUAUAUCCCACUGAUCUACUCCUAGUUGAUCCAGUAAUUCUAUCAAUGGUAUCUAGAGCCUGUCUAGUGAGUAGAUCGAGUUGGGAAAGAAAGAUUCGGAAACGAAUCAAGAGAGAAAAGAAAACGAACAUAGAUACGAUUUUGAUCUCGAAUCGAAGCACAAAGAAGGAAAAAACUCCUUGUCGGAAAAGUUACGCCGCCGCAACGGCCGCGCCGUUCCUCUCGAUUCCGACUCGCAUCGGCAUGCCGAGGUUUCGGGAAGAAGAACUCUACCACGACCGGGGCAAAAGGGCACCGCGGCCAAACCGUUCGACGGCGACGCGCUCACCGCAAGGCGAACGCGCAGCCGGCGAAGGGGAUGGCAACGGCGCCACCGUCGUCGCCUCCAAGUGA